rnacentral:lncRNA from 1 species
AUUAAAUGCGAUACCACACCAAACUUUUUGUUACCAACAAACCAUCUAUCAUUUCUCCACAAUCGGUAUAGUAUGGUCCCUUUUUGUAGAUGCCCCCCCCUGACAAAUUCUUUAAACUAGACAUGCAAUUAUUGUUUACCUACGUCUGCGGAUCUGUAGAAUUCAGUAUAGAACACUAUACAUUUAUCGAGUAUAUCUGUAGUAUUACAUGUUAUAAUUGUUUCAGUGUGGGUAUUAAAUUGGGAAAUUCGAAAUAUAUAAUAUACAAUAGCUUCGGGUUUCAGGAACUUUACGAUACUUCACGUAUUUAUAGGACACAGUCUUUAAAAUAUGCGGAUGGUAUUACGAGAAGUACAGUUUUUACUAGUUUUGAAUGUAUAAAUUUAUGCUAUUUUACUCACAUGUUGCUCGUACUGCGUAACAUUUUCUCUUUGUCCCACAGUCGCCAGAAGUCAACAGCACGUUCCCCUCUUUGUGUACGUACACGAACGACUAGUUUCUAUUUUCUUCCUAUUUUCGUGCUCGAUAAUAAAUCUCUCCUGCAUUUUUCUUUCCCUCUCAGAUCUUUUUUCUUUUUUAAACAUCCCCUGUAUAUCUCUCUCGCUCUUUCUUGUUUAAUUAUUUUUCGUCUUUUACGACGAAUUCCUCGAUCGUGUUCGGCCUGGAAAGCCGACCUAGCUUCGAAAGUAUAUGCUCGCUCUGUCUCGCUGGUUGCACUGAGAUUUCUCCCAGAUCGUGACGUAUCCCACCAUUAGCAAGUGCGCCACUCGCUGUGUGGAAUGUCGUGUUAAAAUGCGCCAUUUCAACCGACUUUACGUAAGCUCAUACGACCAGACGAAAAAGAGAAAAAGCAUAUUAUUUCUUGAGAUUUGCCGUCCUUGCUUGCUGAUGAUCAAGUGCAAAUUCCCGCGCGCGCGCUUUGUUUACAUAUUGCUGCACAAAUAUUACCUUCCCCUCCCUCCCUCAGGCAGGUCAAACAAUUGUCUGUUCGCUUGCUGUAUAUUUUGCAGUACUGGAAUGGAAAAUUUUGACCAAAUAUAACUGUUAUUUCUAUCUGCAGUUGUGCAAGUAACGUCAAUUUUACGGAUGAUGGUAUAUUAGUGUUCUACUGAGCGAAUUUUUGGCCAGAUGUUGCUCGUCGAAACCAGUUUAGACCCCGUGAAAGUAUACGUGUAAUUUGAGUUAUUUGACAAACAGGAUGGCAUUCCCGUUGUGCGUAUAUGUAUACUCGUCCAAUCGGAAGAUAUUUCGUUAAUUCCCACUCAAUUUUGGAUUUUUAUGAUGAGGUUUAACCGUCACUAUCGUUCAAGGUUCACAAACAGGGUUUUCGUCCAUCCAAAGUACAUUUGAGUUACUGAGCUAAACUUCAGCAAGUCUCGUAUGGUAAUAUAAAUAUGGCUGUGUCGUUAUCUGACCAAUAUGUCCUGUUUAUAUACUACAAAACGUCGGCCAGGAGAACAGGCUCUUACGAGAACAGUUAAUAUUAAAGACGACUAUAAACGAGACGAAGUUGUCCAUCGAAGAUAUGAAGGUUGAUAAAAUGGACAAUUUGUCAAACAGAACUGCGAGACACGUUGCCAAAGCUAUGCAGGGUAAGCAUUUGUACUUAUAUCUGAUAAAUUGUGUAUACAUGUCAUUUCAAUGGUAUAGAACGCUCUGAUUUAAUGAAAGUUUAGGCUCCUAAAAUAAUUGCGCCAAAUAUUCAAAGGCUAAUUCAAGAUUGCUGAACUCAGUCAUAGAUGCUGUUUAAUAAUUUAUUACAUGCAAAUCACUGCUAAAAAUACUACAGUAUAUACCCCAUUUACUGUAUAUAUAUUAUAGAACCCUUGUCUUUGCCCUUGGCAGGCAAAACGUGCAAGUUAUGUUUACGC